rnacentral:rRNA from 1 species
AGUGAACGCUGGCGGUAGGCCUAACACAUGCAAGUCGAACGGCAGCACGGUAAGCGCUUGCUCUUACGGGUGGCGAGUGGCGGUAGGGUGCGGAAUACAUCGGAAUCUUCUUUUUCGUGGGUGAUAAUGUAGGGCAACUUAAGCUAAUACCGCAUACGACCUACGGGUGAAAGCCGAGGUUCUUUGGCCUUUUCGCGAUUGAAUGAGCAGAUGUCGGAUUAGCUAGUUGGCGGGGUAAAGGCCCACCAAGGCGACGCUCCGUAGCUGGUCUGAGAGGAUGAUCAGCCAAACUGGAACGGAGACACGGUCCAGACUCUACCGGGAGGCACCAGAGGGGAAUAUUGGACAAUGGGCGCAAGCAUAAUCAAGCCAUACCGCGUGGGUAAAAAAGGCCUUCGGGUUGUAAAGCCCUUUUGUAGGGAAAGAAAAGCAGCAGGUUAAAACCCCGCUGUUCUGACGGUACCCAAAGAAUAAGCACCGGCUAACUUCGUG